rnacentral:lncRNA from 1 species
UUACUUUUUGCAGUAGCCACAUUUUUCGGAGUUUUUUAGUAUAGUAGCAUCAAUCAAUAUAAAGGAUAGGAAGAACCUGUGCAAACCAAAAUGCGACCUGUGGAGCGCAGAGAGUAGAGAAACAUGUAAAGGAGGAGCGCAUGUGCUUGACCUGUGGAGCGCAGAGAGUAGAGAAACAUGUAAAGGAGGAGCGCAUGUGCUUUCCCAGUGGAUCGGAUAUAUAAUUCAUUUUUUAUAGGCAUAUAACCAGAUCCCUUGCAAGUUUCUGUACCUCUGUUAUUAGAACUAACCCAAGGGAUUUACACGAGAUUUUGUAUUAUGGAACCUCAUCCAUUAGUAUUGGUAGAAGGUGACUUAUUAAUGUACAAUUUUACUAAUAAUCCAGGAUUCCAGACUGCCCCAAGUUCUAGCUUUUACUUACUAAAGACUAA